rnacentral:rRNA from 1 species
UACAGAGGGUGCGAGCGCUAAUCGGCAUUACUGGGCGUAAAGCGCACGUAGUCGGCUUUGCAAGUCGGUUGUGAAAUCCCCGGGCUCAACCUGGGAACUGCAUCCGAGACUGCAUUGCUAGAGUAUGGGAGAGGGAAGCGGAAUUUCUGGUGUAGCAGUGAAAUGCGUAGAUAUCAGAAGGAACAUCAGUGGCGAAGGCGGCUUCCUGGACCAAUACUGACGAUCAGGUGCGAAAGCGUGGGGAGCAAACAGG